AAAUUAUGAAAUGAGCCAGGGGAAGCUUGAAGGUAAUGGCUACUCGACAUCCAAAGAUUCUCAUAUGUAGCUUCAGAAUGUGGGGAUUCCACACCCCACACUCUUUGCUACUUUAUCAUGAAGAUUAUGUACUGGAAUUGUAGAUGAACGAAUGGUAAAGGGUUUCGAGCCUUAAUCAAAGAUCUGUGAUUAGAGUACUCGAUAUCUAUGCAUAUUCUUAUGGAAACAAAAUUAGUCGGGAAAAGGCGGAGAGGGUUAUCCAGAAUUUGGGUUUUGAUGGGCCAUCCAUAGUGGAUGUUGUUGGUAGAACUAGAGGUAUCUGGGUUUUAUGGGAUAGUAGCCUUUGGAAGGUCACAGUUAAACAAGCUACAAACUAUUUUAUCACCAUGGAUGUCUAUGCUAAUGGAGUGGUUCCUUGUACCCUCUCUAUUGUCUAUGCUAGCCCCA
rnacentral:lncRNA from 1 species